CAGAGGUGUACGUGGGUUCACGGGGUGGCUCUGCAGGGCCACCUGGGAGGGUGCCUUGCUGCCCCUACGCUGACCGCUCUCCUCUUCUCCCAUGCUCCUCCCAUGUCCCCAGCUGUGGUCCUGCACCGAGGCCAGCUCUUGGGGCUCCGAGGUAAGCCCAGCCACCUCGUGUCCCCUCACGGGAGCCUCUCCCACCCUCCACCUGUAUGCGGGCCUAGCGCCUCUGGGUUCUCUCCCUGCAGCCAAUAAGACAUCCCCCACCUCUGGGGAGGGCGCCCGUCCCGGGGGCAUCAUCCACGUGUAUGGCGAUGACAGCAGUGACAGGGCGGCCAGCAGCUUCAUCCCCUACUGCUCCAUGGCCCAGGCCCAGCUAUGCUUCCAUGGGCACCGCGAUGCCGUGAAGUUCUUUGUCUCGGUGCCAGGGAACGUGCUGGCCACCCUGAAUGGGAGCGUGCUGGACAGCCCAGCCGAGGGCCCUGGGCCAGCUGCCCCUGCCUCGGAGGUCGAGGGCCAGAAGCUGCGGAACGUGCUGGUGCUGAGCGGCGGGGAGGGCUACAUCGACUUCCGCAUUGGUGAGCGGGGCCCAGGGACAGGGCUGAGGUUGGGCACGGGGGGAGCCUGGCCCUCACUCUGCUGCUUUGCCCGCAGGAGAUGGAGAGGACGACGAGACGGAGGAGGGCGCAGGGGACAUGAGCCAGGUGAAGCCCGUGCUGUCCAAGGCAGAGCGCAGUCACAUCAUCGUGUGGCAGGUGUCCUACACCCCCGAGUGAAGCUGCUGCCCUGCCUGGCCCGACCUGUACAUAGGACCCCCGACCACCUGACCCCCGCCCGCCCCGCGGGGUAGCCAGCCAGGCGCCGCCGCCCCUCUUCUAACCUCUCAACCUGCAGCUUUCACCUGAGUCUGGCCCCUCCAGCGGGCAGGGAGUGCGGGGAUGCGGAUCAGCUGGGAGGAGGAGGGGAGGGGUG
rnacentral:sRNA from 1 species